rnacentral:rRNA from 1 species
AGAUGAACGCUAGCUACAGGCUUAACACAUGCAAGUCGAGGGUCAGCAUCAUCAAAGCUUGCUUUGAUGGAUGGCGACCGGCGCACGGGUGAGUAACACGUAUCCAACCUGCCGACAACACUGGGAUAGCCUUUCGAAAGAAAGAUUAAUACCGGAUGGCAUAGUUUUUCCGCAUGGGAUAAUUAUUAAAGAAUUUCGGUUGUCGAUGGGGAUGCGUUCCAUUAGGCAGUUGGCGGGGUAACGGCCCACCAAACCAACGAUGGAUAGGGGUUCUGAGAGGAAGGUCCCCCACAUUGGAACUGAGACACGGUCCAAACUCCUACGGGAGGCAGCAGUGAGGAAUAUUGGUCAAUGGACGAGAGUCUGAACCAGCCAAGUAGCGUGAAGGAUGACUGCCCUAUGGGUUGUAAACUUCUUUUAUACGGGAAUAAAGUUAGCCACGUGUGGCUUUUUGUAUGUACCGUAUGAAUAAGGAUCGGCUAACUCCGUGCCAGCAGCCGCGGUAAUACGGAGGAUCCGAGCGUUAUCCGGAUUUAUUGGGUUUAAAGGGAGCGUAGGCGGGUUGUUAAGUCAGUUGUGAAAGUUUGCGGCUCAACCGUAAAAUUGCAGUUGAUACUGGCGACCUUGAGUGCAACAGAGGUAGGCGGAAUUCGUGGUGUAGCGGUGAAAUGCUUAGAUAUCACGAAGAACUCCGAUUGCGAAGGCAGCUUACUGGAUUGUAACUGACGCUGAUGCUCGAAAGUGUGGGUAUCAAACAGGAUUAGAUACCCUGGUAGUCCACACAGUAAACGAUGAAUACUCGCUGUUGGCGAUAUACGGUCAGCGGCCAAGCGAAAGCAUUAAGUAUUCCACCUGGGGAGUACGCCGGCAACGGUGAAACUCAAAGGAAUUGACGGGGGCCCGCACAAGCGGAGGAACAUGUGGUUUAAUUCGAUGAUACGCGAGGAACCUUACCCGGGCUUAAAUUGCAACUGACGGAACCGGAAACGGUUCUUUCUUCGGACAGUUGUGAAGGUGCUGCAUGGUUGUCGUCAGCUCGUGCCGUGAGGUGUCGGCUUAAGUGCCAUAACGAGCGCAACCCUUACGGGUAGUUACCAUCAGGUUAUGCUGGGGACUCUACCCGGACUGCCGUCGUAAGAUGUGAGGAAGGUGGGGACGACGUCAAAUCAGCACGGCCCUUACGUCCGGGGCUACACACGUGUUACAAUGGGGGGUACAGAAGGCAGCUACACGGCGACGUGGUGCUAAUCCCGAAAGCCUCUCUCAGUUCGGAUUGGAGUCUGCAACCCGACUCCAUGAAGCUGGAUUCGCUAGUAAUCGCGCAUCAGCCACGGCGCGGUGAAUACGUUCCCGGGCCUUGUACACACCGCCCGUCAAGCCAUGAAAGCCGGGGGUACCUAAAGUACGUAACCGCGAGGAGCGUCCUAGGGUAA